UUCAUUUUUUUAAACUACCGGAUGUAUUCAUCUUCUCCGGUUUACAGAGCUGAAUUUGAUGACAGAGACGACGAUACAAGGCUAUAUGGGUGGGAGGGGUGCUGGGCCCUGGAAGAGACUGGCGAGUCUUCAUGAAGUUCUUGCUUUGUAAUUUUAGACUCGGACAAGUGUUUUGCCAGGCAGAACAAAACAAAAUCCCCCCCGCCCCCAAGUCCCGCCAACAAGGUAGAGUUCACAGGAGAGAAUAUUUUGUUUUCCCCUGAAAUUUGCAACCCAACUUCAGGAAGGUUAUUUUCCGUCCCAAAGACACAGGUGACGACCCUACGCACGCUAGUUCAAUCCCAGCAUCUACUGCCGAGUGGAACCCCAGCAAAGGUGAACUGACCAGGUCUACAGUGUGACACAACCUGACAACACAACCAGCGAUCCUUUUUACCAUAAAUAAUAGGAACACACAUCAAGUAAACGUCAGCGGUCUAUGGAUACUAUGACAAACAAACAGUCUCUCUUCCACUCAGUCACUUCAGAUGCUUUUGCUCCAGCUCUGACCAAUCACCUGGAAGUUGAGGACUGAAGAAGAAAGAAAUCUCUGGUAAAAGGAAGCUGUAAAUCGUAUUUCUUUUGGAGCGAAAAGACAGACCCGUUGCCCGAGUUUUCCCCCCGCCCCAAGGUGCAGCUGGAAAAGCAUCUUGACUGCCUUUGUUUGACACAACACAGUGGUCCUGCCUCUCUCCGACAUGGAAGUUCUG